UACGUAGGUGACAAGCGUUAUCCGGAAUUACUGGGCGUAAAGCGCACGCAGGCGGCGCGAUAAGUCUGACGUGAAAUCUCCCGGCUUAACUGGGAGGGGUCGUUGGAAACUGUUGUGCUUGAGGCGGUGAGAGGGGUGUAGAAUUCCCGGUGUAGUGGUGGAAUGCGUAGAUAUCGGGAGGAAUACCAGUGGCGAAAGCGACACCCUGGCACUGUGCCUGACGCUCAUGUGCGAAGGCGUGGGGAGCGAACGGG
rnacentral:rRNA from 1 species